UACGAAGGGGGCUAGCGUUGUUCGGAAUUACUGGGCGUAAAGCGCGCGCAGGCGGUCCUUCAAGUCAGAGGUGAAAGCCCAGGGCUCAACCCUGGAACUGCCUUUGAAACUGGAGGACUUGAGUACGGGAGAGGUGAGUGGAAUUCCGAGUGUAGAGGUGAAAUUCGUAGAUAUUCGGAAGAACGCCAGUGGCGAAGGCGGCUCACUGGCCCGUUACUGACGCUCAGGCGCGACAGCGUGGGGAGCAAACAGG
rnacentral:rRNA from 1 species